UCUAAACUCUUGGAUUAGAUGUGGAGUAUCAAAGGUAGACUUUCAACAAGGUUAAUGAAUAUUUGCGUAGCAUCUCUUUGUAAAGCGAAACAAUUGGAGAAAGCUGAAGUUGUAAUAGUUGAUGGCAUAAGAAUUGGAGUACAACCAGAUGUGGUCACUUAUAAUACACUGAUUACCGCAUAUUGUCGCUUUGUUGGCAUUGAUGCAGGUUAUUCCGUCCUUUAUAGGAUGAAAG
rnacentral:misc_RNA from 1 species